rnacentral:rRNA from 1 species
UACAGAGGGGGCUAGCGUUAUUCGGAAUUACUGGGCGUAAAGCGCACGUAGGUGGCGACGUAAGUCGGGUGUGAAAGCCCCGGGCUCAACCUGGGAAUUGCAUUCGAGACUGCAUUGCUGGAGUACGGAAGAGGAAGGCGGAAUUCCCGGUGUAGCGGUGAAAUGCGUAGAUAUCGGGAGGAACAUCAGUGGCGAAGGCGGCCUUCUGGUCCAGUACUGACACUCAAGUGCGAAAGCGUGGGGAGCAAACAGG